AGCAGCCGCGGUAAUUCCAGCUCCAAUAGCGUAUAUUAAAGUUGUUGCAGUUAAAAAGCUCGUAGUUGAAUUUCGGGGUUCUACCGUUGGUCGGGCUAUUGUCUGUACUGGCGUGUGGAAUUUCUACCUUCUGGGGAACUAUCAUGUUAUUAAUUUAGCGUGGUAGGAAACCAGGACCUUUACCUUGAAAAAAUUAGAGUGUUCAAAGCAGGCUUAUGUCUGAAUACAUUAGCAUGGAAUAAUAAAAUAGGACGGUGGUCCUGUUUUGUUGGUUUCUGAAUCACCGUAAUGAUUAAUAGGGAUAGUUGGGGGCAUUAGUAUUCAAUUGUCAGAGGUGAAAUUCUUGGAUUUAUUGAAGACUAACUACUGCGAAAGCAUUUGCCAAGGAUGUUUUCAUUAAUCAAGAACGAAAGUUAGGGGAUCGAAGACGAUCAGAUACCGUCGUAGUCUUAACCAUAAACUAUGCCGACUAGGGAUCGGACGAUGUUAAUUUUUCUUGACUCGUUCGGCGCCUUACGGG
rnacentral:rRNA from 1 species